rnacentral:rRNA from 1 species
CCAGACUCCUACGGGAGGCAGCAGUGAGGAAUAUUGGUCAAUGGGCGAGAGCCUGAACCAGCCAAGUAGCGUGCAGGAAGACGGCCCUAUGGGUUGUAAACUGCUUUUAUAGGGGAAUAAAGUGAUCUACGUGUAGUUUAUUGUAUGUACCCUAUGAAUAAGGACCGGCUAAUUCCGUGCCAGCAGCCGCGGUAAUACGGAAGGUUCGGGCGUUAUCCGGAUUUAUUGGGUUUAAAGGGAGCGUAGGCCGUAGAUUAAGCGUGUUGUGAAAUGUAGAUGCUCAACAUCUGACUUGCAGCGCGAACUGGUUUACUUGAGUGUGCACAACGUAGGCGGAAUUCGUCGUGUAGCGGUGAAAUGCUUAGAUAUGACGAAGAACUCCGAUUGCGAAGGCAGCUUACGGGAGCACAACUGACGCUGAAGCUCGAAGGUGCGGGUAUCAAACAGGAUUAGAUACCCUGGUAGUCCGCACAGUAAACGCUGGAUGCCCGCUGUUGGUUCAUUAGAGUCAGCGGCCAAGCGAAAGCAUUAAGCAUCCCACCUGGGGAGUACGCCGGCAACGGUGAAACUCAAAGGAAUUGACGGGGGCCCGCACAAGAAGGGC